rnacentral:rRNA from 1 species
GAUUCUGGCUCAGGAUGAACGCUGGCGGCGUGCUUAACACAUGCAAGUCGAACGGAGUUUUAACGGAAGUUUCGGAUGGAAGUUUAGAAACUUAGUGGCGGACGGGUGAGUAACGCGUGGGUAACCUGCCUCAUACAGGGGGAUAACAGUUAGAAAUGACUGCUAACACCGCAUAAUAUAGCGAAACCGCAUGAUUUUGCUAUCAAAUAUUUAUAGGUAUGAGAUGGGCCCGCGUCUGAUUAGCUAGUUGGUGGGGUAAAAGCCUACCAAGGCGACGAUCAGUAGCCGGCUUGAGAGAGUGACCGGCCACAUUGGGACUGAGACACGGCCCAAACUCCUACGGGAGGCAGCAGUGGGGAAUAUUGGACAAUGGGGGAAACCCUGAUCCAGCGAACCGCCGCGUGAGUGAAGAAGUAUUUCGGUAUGUAAAGCUCUAUCAGCAGGGAAGAUAAUGACAGUACCUGACUAAGAAGCCCCGGCUAACUACGUGCCAGCAGCGGC